UACGUAGGGGGCAAGCGUUACUCGGAUUUACUGGGCGUAAAGCGAGCUAAGGUGGUUUGAUAAGUCAGAGGUGAAAUCCCUUGGCCUAACCAAGGAACUGCCUUUGAUACUGUCAGACUUGAGGACAGGAGAGGAAAGUGGAAUUCCCGGUGUAGCGGUGGAAUGCGUAGAUAUCGGGAGGAACACCAGAGGCGAAGGCGGCUUUCUGGACUGUUCCUGACACUGACGCUCGAAAGCUAGGGGAGCAAACAGG
rnacentral:rRNA from 1 species